rnacentral:rRNA from 1 species
AUUGAACGCUGGCGGAACGCUUUACACAUGCAAGUCGAACGGUAACGAGGAGGAAAGCUUGCUUUCCUCUGUCGACGAGUGGCGAACGGGUGAGUAAGACAUCGGAACGUAUCCGCUCGUGGGGGACAACUUCCCGAAAGGGGAGCUAAUACCGCAUGAGAUCCGAGGAUGAAAGAGGGGGACCCGCGAGGGCCUCUCGCGAGCGGAGCGGCCGAUGACUGAUUAGCUAGUUGGUAAGGUAAAGGCUUACCAAGGCGACGAUCAGUAGCUGGUCUGAGAGGACGACCAGCCACACUGGGACUGAGACACGGCCCAG